rnacentral:rRNA from 1 species
CAUGGCUCAGAUUGAACGCUGGCGGUAUGCUUAACACAUGCAAGUCGAACGGUAGCAGGCCUUCGGGCGCUGACGAGUGGCGGACGGGUGAGUAACGCGUAGGAAUCUGCCUCAUAGUGGGGGACAACGUGGGGAAACUCACGCUAAUACCGCAUACGCCCUACGGGGGAAAGCGGGGGAUCUUCGGACCUCGCGCUAUGAGAUGAGCCUGCGUUAGAUUAGCUAGUUGGUAGGGUAAAGGCCUACCAAGGCGACGAUCUAUAGCUGGUCUGAGAGGACGAUCAGCCACACUGGGACUGAGACACGGCCCAGACUCCUACGGGAGGCAGCAGUGGGGAAUAUUGGACAAUGGGCGCAAGCCUGAUCCAGCAAUACCGCGUGUGUGAAGAAGGCCUUAGGUUGUAAAGCACUUUCAAUUGGGAGGAAAAACCUGUCGGUCAAUACCGGCAGCUUGACAUUACCUUUAGAAGAAGCACCGGCUAACUCCGUGCCAGCAGCCGCGGUAAUACGG